GACGAACCGUGCAAACGUUGUUCGGAUUCACUGGGCUUAAAGGGCGCGUAGGCGGCUUGCCAAGUCAGGGGUGAAAUCUUUCGGCUCAACCGGAAAACAGCUUCUGAUACUGGCGAGCUGGAGGGAGGUAGGGGCAGAUGGAACUUCCGGUGGAGCGGUGAAAUGCGUAGAUAUCGGAAGGAACGCCGGUGGCGAAAGCGAUCUGCUGGACCUCUUCUGACGCUGAGGCGCGAAAGCCAGGGGAGCAAACGGG
rnacentral:rRNA from 1 species